GGAGAGAUGGCUGAGUGGACUAAAGCGUCGGAUUGCUAAUUCGUAUCGAGGGUUCGAAUCCCUCUUUCUCCG
rnacentral:tRNA from 1 species